AUCCUACGGGAGGCAGCAGCCGCGGUAAUACGUAGGGGGCAAGCGUUAUCCGGAUUUACUGGGUGUAAAGGGAGCGUAGACGGUUGUGCAAGUCUGAAGUGAAAGCCCGCGGCUCAACUGCGGAACGGCUUUGGAAACUGUGUAACUGGAGUGCUGGAGAGGUAAGCGGAAUUCCUGGUGUAGCGGUGAAAUGCGUAGAGAUCAGGAGGAACACCGGCGGCGAAGGCGGCUUACUGGACAGUAACUGACGUUGAGGCUCGAAAGCGUGGGGAGCAAAAAGGAUUAGAAACCCAUGUAGUCCCCGG
rnacentral:rRNA from 1 species